rnacentral:rRNA from 1 species
GACGAACGCUGGCGGCGUGCUUAACACAUGCAAGUCGAACGGAAAGGCCCUGCUUUUGUGGGGUGCUCGAGUGGCGAACGGGUGAGUAACACGUGAGUAACCUGCCCUUGACGUUGGGAUAACUUCAGGAAACUGGGGCUAAUACCGGAUAGGAGCUCCUGCUGCAUGGUGGGGGUUGGAAAGUUUCGGCGGUUGGGGAUGGACUCGCGGCUUAUCAGCUUGUUGGUGGGGUAGUGGCUUACCAAGGCUUUGACGGGUAGCCGGCCUGAGAGGGUGACCGGCCACAUUGGGACUGAGAUACGGCCCAGACUCCUACGGGAGGCGGCAGUGGGGAAUAUUGCACAAUGGGCGGAAGCCUGAUGCAGCAACGCCGCGUGCGGGAUGACGGCCUUCGGGUUGUAAACCGCUUUCGCCUGUGACGAAGCGUGAGUGACGGUAAUGGGUAAAGAAGCACCGGCUAACUACGUG